CCCUUUUAACUACUGAGCACUUACCUUGUGCCAGCCUCCAGGAGACAACUUUUAUAUACAGCCUCUUAUUCAGUCAUAGUAAUUAAGAAACCAAGACAAAGAGGGGUGAAAUAACUUUCCCAAGAGUCUCAUUGCUAGUUAGUCAUGGAGGCGGGCUCUAUCCCAUAACCCGCUUCCUCUGGGCUGCAUGGAUUUGUGUUCUGCAUCCCUACAUGUCAGCCAUGAAACUUGAGCAACUUUAACCUCUCUUAGCCUCAGUUCCUCCUCUGUACAAAUGGAGACAGUGAUAGAAACCUAGCUCACAGCGUUGGGAAGUUUAAGGAGGUUCACAUGUGCCAAGUGCUUAGAAGAGUACUUGGUAUAGCAAGUAUUUGUUGAGUCAUCAAGGCCCUGGUCUCCUUUAGAUGAUCUGCAUCAGAAUACCUAAGGAAAAGCCAGUAAUCUCCUCAUACGUGUUCUCCAGGAUGGAUAACUAUCAAUCUUAGGAGAGAUAUCUC
rnacentral:lncRNA from 1 species